rnacentral:rRNA from 1 species
AGUUUGAUCCUGGCUCAGAUUGAACGCUGGCGGCAGGCCUAACACAUGCAAGUCGAACGGUAACAGGAUAGCUUGCUAUCGCUGACGAGUGGCGGACGGGUGAGUAGUACUUAGGGAUCUGCCUCUGUGUGGGGGAUAACUAUUGGAAACGAUAGCUAAUACCGCAUAAUGUCUACGGACCAAAGCGGGCUUCGGCUCGUGCGCAGAGAGGAACCUAAGCGAGAUUAGCUAGUUGGUGAGGUAAAGGCUCACCAAGGCGACGAUCUCUAGCUGUUCUGAGAGGAAGAUCAGCCACACUGGAACUGAGACACGGUCCAGACUCCUACGGGAGGCAGCAGUGGGGAAUAUUGCACAAUGGGGGAAACCCUGAUGCAGCCAUGCCGCGUGUGUGAAGAAGGCCUUCGGGUUGUAAAGCACUUUCAGUUGUGAGGAAAGUUUAGUAGUUAAUACCUGCUAGAUGUGACGUUAGCAACAGAAGAAGCACCGGCUAACUCCGUGCCAGCAGCCGCGGUAAUACGGAGGGUGCGAGCGUUAAUCGGAAUUACUGGGCGUAAAGCGCACGCAGGCGGUCUGUUAAGCUAGAUGUGAAAGCCCCGCGCUCAACGUGGGAGGGUCAUUUAGAACUGGCAGACUAGAGUCUUGGAGAGGGGAGUGGAAUUCCAGGUGUAGCG